GGGGAAGUAAGGUGAAUCUGACCUGUUUUUAUUUUAUUUUUCUGCUCUGUUUUAUGUUUACUCUAUCUCGCUUGUGUUGUCUUCUUCCUUACCCCUGUUUCACACAUUUGUUAAAAGAAGAAUUUUUCUUUCUUCUUCGUCUUCCUUGUCCUCUUAUUAUGUUCUGCGUUGUGUCUAAACUUUAGAACCUUUGUGCAGCAUUUAGAUCAGACGAGGAAGCCAAAAAGGGUUUGGCUGCAUAAUAUUGCGAUCUUCUAUGUUCCUAAGAAGGUCCAGGGGAAGAAAUGGUCCUGCCAAUCUCUCGGUUCGACCAAUAAGUACCACAUGACGUGAGUUUUCUUAUAUAUCACACCAUCCUUUUUUUCUUUUCUAUCUUCUCUAAAUUAUCUAUAUUAUCUGUAAAAAAGAUUUGACAGAUGGUGUUGAAUUCACCACAAUUCUGCAUUCCAAUGAAAAAAGAAAUUUUGAAUUAGAAUUAUGUUUCCCUAUUUACAAGGUUUGUUGAUUUGUUCCUUAAAUUUACGUCUAAUCUGGGCUCCAGAAAGACAUUGUAGACCCUUCACGCCUUGACCAAUAGGAGACAAUUUUUGUUUUAAAGAUCUUAACUAUAUACUAAAGAAGACUCCAAAAUGUACCUCCGUUGAUUUAACAUAUGGUUUUGCAUUUUUGUGUUACCUUGUAAGAUUGAAUUUGUCUCCGUUGGUAGACCAAGACAAUGUAAGACUUUUCAUGCCAGCUCACGAUGGAAUCAAUCUAGAAUUUAAUAUUUUGUUUGUUUGUUGAAGAUGAACCUUUGUUAAUUUGAAGUCGUCUUUUGCAUAUUAUUUAAUCUUCCAUCUGUACCUAAUCAGAAUUUUCAGACUAUAUUUUUUUCAAGUCAAAUUGAACAUUCCUCUGGUAGUUUUAAUCCAAGUAAAUGAUUAUGACUAAUUCAUAAGUUUCGUCCUUUACAAGAUAUCAUCAAGUUUUCUCCAUGGAAAAUGCAGGCAACUUCCAAUCAUUUUCGGAGUAGUUUCAGUUGGUGAUUGUGGAAUACAUUUCGGUG
rnacentral:lncRNA from 1 species